GGGAGGUUUUGCCAGCAGGGAUCCUCUCCCUGCAGGUGGCUCAGCUCCUGUGCGGAGCAGCUCACCUGGAGGGAGCUGCGUCCCUCUGGGCACGGGAUGCAGGAACCUGCUGCCACCCUGGGGCUGGCCCCGGGUGCCCUGAGCUGUGACAGUGGAGCAGGCACCAGGCCCCUGGGAUCUUCCAUCCCUGGGGCCACCUCUAGCCCGAGUACCCAUGAGGGGUGAUGGCAACAGGAGAUGGUACCAUAGCCCCCCUGUGACAACAGCCCCUGCCCAGAAAGCCCUGCCCUCGGGGGUCACCUCGACACCCGUGUCCACCCUGCUCGGUUCACUGUCUGCAGUGAGGAGGAGGAAGGCUGCAGGCUGUCCCUCCUUCCCACGCAGUCAGGUUCCCCCAGCCAGAAAGGCUCCUGCCCCUCAAGUGCUUUUUGUGCCUUUUGGUCAGGGAGCAGGGAUGGCCUCACUCAGCCUGGUCCAGCUGCUGGACCUUGCCCUAAGGACACCUGCUUUUGGGGCUGUCCAGUAUCGGGCCCUGUAGCAGCUGCUGCUGAUCCUGCUCCAGCUUUUCUGAAUAUUCCCUCACUUUGAUUGGAAAAUUCCUAGCCCUCCCUGCUGAAAUAGCCUGACAGAUCUUAGUGGCCCAUUCAAUGUACACAAAAGUGCCCUAGUUAGGUCUAAAACUUGAAAUAGCAGAAAUAAAUAGUUACAUCUUGAAGAUGUGAAUUGAAACUAAGCCAAUUAGGCAAGAAUAAAAACGGCACAAAGGAGGGAGGCAUUUGAUUUGCUUGACUUUCUGUGUCUAGUAUGCACAUGUACCAGAUCAAAGAUAAAAGACUAAUUUUUCCCCGGCAGGCUGAUCUGGACAGGUGGUGCUGUACUGUCUGAAAAGACUGUGCCAGUGAAACAGCUGGUCAUUAUUUGGCAGAUCUUUCUUCUUCACAGUGACAUCCUCAGAGUGAUCUGAUGAGGCAAAGCUAAAUUGUGUCUGUCACCUGUUAAAAGCAUGUCCUGGGAAGGAAAACUGCAGCAGGUAUCUCUAUGGAUUCCUGGAAGCUGCCUGCAUUAUCGACAGUAUCAGACUCGUAACUGCCCCAUACAUGGUCUUUCCCAAAACCCAAGAAGUUUACUGCACAGCCAGAUUUAUCAGGAAAACACAGACAAGUUGACUUGCAGCCUGAGUGCACCCCAGGGGGGGUUGUUCUGAGAGGCCUGAAAGAAUUCGGGCAAGGUGUGGCUGUCUCACUACUAAAAAAUACCUUUGUUUUACUUCUAGGAGAGAAAUCUCAACAUAGAAUCACAAGUAGGUGAUAAGGGCAGCAAGAGCUGUGGCUCUUUUUUUGAGGACAGCCCAACAAUGCUCUCAGGAAUUACAGAUGCAGGAGCCCCUGGCGAAUGGUUUAAAUGACAAAGAGGAUACAUCAAGAAAUCUUCAACUGUUCUUUUCUUUCUUAGAAGGACUAACAGCUCUCCAAGUAUUUCAAGUCCUUUUGCUCAGAUCAAUAAGGCCCGCAGGGAGAACCUAUUGAGGCUGCUGGGUUCUUCAGUGUCCUAAACCGGGAGCUUAAACACUGCAGAAAUCUGCACUUCCAGUGUUCCCUUUUUCAGGGACAGAGAGAAAAGGACAUGUCUGGUCAUCAGUGCAUGAGGUGAACAGCUGGACCCUCUGGUUCCAGUCACCAACAGCCAGUUGUGUUUUCUCCUCACUUGUGGAAACUAAAAAAGUGAAACCAA